rnacentral:misc_RNA from 1 species
GAUGAAACGUAGCGAAAUGCGAUAAGUAAUGUGAAUUGCAGAAUUCAGUGAAUCAUCGAAUCUUUGAACGCACAUUGCGCCCGGUAGUAAUCUGCCGGGCAUGCCUGUCCGAGCGUCAUUUCAACCCUCGAACCACUAUUCGCGUAGCUGGAUCGGUGUUGGGGCACUACGGUGGAAUACCCGUAGGCCCCGAAAUGAAGUGGCGGUCCCGCCGCGGCGCCCCCAUGCGUAGUAACAUCUCGUCUCGCAUCGGGUCCCGGCGGAGGCCUGCCGUCAAGCCUAUUUUCUAAUUACAGAUGGUUUGACCUCGGAUCAGGUAGGGUUACCCGCUGAACUUAAGCAUAUCAAUAAGCGGAGGA